CCCACGCUACUGCUACCCCGAUCCACUCCCACCCCACCGAACUCUCUCGUGAAUCCCUAAAAAAACUCUCUAACCUCACCCCACCCCUUGGUCGACCUCCUCUCCCCCACGAUCUCUUCCCCGCCGCCGCCACCCACGUCGGCAGGUUCCGGCGAGCUCCAGCUGCGCGCAACACGCCCCCAAGCUCCACCCCUCCCUCCCCCUCGUCCAGAUCCGUGCCUCAAGGCCUGCAUCCUUGCCCACGGCUAGGGUUUCGGGCGCCUCCCGUGUUCUUGCCGGAAUCCACCACAAUCGGCGAUGGCGAGGCCGGCGCUUGCAGGAUCCGUCACCGGCGUUGCCCAGGUCACGAUGGCACGGAGGAGGAGGGGCACACCUAGGCGCCGGCCCUGCUCUGCUCGAGGAGGAGGGGCCUGCUCCUAGGGCGACCAAGAGGUCCUGCACGAGCUCAAGCAUGGCCACGAUGACCCACCACGACAGGUGGAUUUUGCUUCUAUUCUGGUUGUGGAUAGCCUUGGUAUCAGUGUGAAGAGGUUGGAUGGAGCAUCGAGGAUCUCAGGCUUGGGGUGGCCACAUGUUGCAGGAUCGCAGGAAGAGUUGGAUGUGUUCUGCAAAGACCAGGUGAUCAAUGUCGUUGCCGACAGGUACCUAAAGUACACACUUCUAAAUUUAGUUGUUUAUUUAUCCUCAGAGCUGGUUCCCUUGAUACUUUUUCUUAGAAACAUGAUCAAAGAUACAAGAAGUUUUACUUCUGAAGCAGAAGUGGCAGUAUAGUGUGCAUGCCCUAUUGACUUGUUCAUGCCAAUGGCAGAAGUAUCUGAUUCAUCCGACCCAAUUCAAGUUAACUUGAGUGCAGCAGUAGAUAAACAUUCACUUACAAAUUCUACUCCAAAUGGACAGUCAUAGUAGUACGCGGGCAGUGCAAAAUGUGUUUUUGUUAGUUCAGUGAAAAUUAGAGAUCCACCUGAUGGUACUUCAUUUUUAUUCUAAUCUGCCAAAUGCUAUUCAGGAAAUGAAGUUUCUUCCUCGAUCAAGUUAUUAGUCCUUGGUUCAUUAUCGCCCUUUGCGCCAUCGACAACGGGUCAUCUAGUAGAUUGAAACGCUGACAGUGAAGCUGAGAAUGGUUGAUGUGGAUCUAGCUUCUGGCCGGUGGAAAGCAAAGCUGUCUAAAUCUCAUUUCACUCGUGGUCAUGCCUAGCAUUGUAUCCUUCUUAAGUUGGGUUUUCCCCAAUUUCGAGGAUUGGUCUGUUUGGUACUACUUAUAAUUCAUAUAUAUACUAUGCUGCUGCUAUAUGCUUUUGUUUCUGCUAUUAUUACUUAGUGAUCUAUAGGUUACUGUUAUACUGUACUAAUGCUACAGGUUCUUUGUGAGUUCCUAGUAGUGGUCUUGGUUCAUUGUUUAAUUCCAGGAUUUGUGAGUUCUUAGUAGGGAACACGUGGACAUGAAGUUGCGGCGGCAACGAUGACGACGGCUUCGACACUGUCACGGGGCUGCGGUGGCGACGAUGACGACGGCAUCGACAUUGUCACGGGGCUACGGCGGCGACGAUGAUGACAUCAUCAUGGUGAUGCGGCGACGACGACGGUGUUGUCACGGUGCUGCCGCGGAGGCAACGACGAUGACAUCAACACCAGCAACACGGGCUUGUGGAGGCGCCGACGACCUAUACGUGUGGUGUAUAAUGGAUAUAUAUGUGUGUGUAUUAAUUAUCUAUAUCAGAUAUGUAUGUUCGACUGUAUGCAUAACAUGUGUGUAUUAUGAAAUGCAUGUAUGUGAGUACUAUAAAAUGAAAUAGGUAGAUUUUUAUUUA